CUGCACUGACAUCAGUUGCCUAGCCUUACGUCGCCCUUCCAAGUAAUCUCAGGAAGGCGCCGCGUAACAGUACUCAUGAGUGUCACUUCUAGAUAGAUAUCUAAAAAUAGAUGGAAAUAACUUUUAGAUAUGCCUGGAGAAAGAAAAGGACAAUGGUGAAAAAAAGUGAAAACUACUUUCCCUUUUGAUGAAAAAGGAAUUGUCAGAUUUUUAAUGCAGACUCACGGGCUUUCGGUUAAAAGUUCUCUUGUUGGAUUAGCCCAGAAAAUGGCGAGAAUGAGGCAACAGAGAAUAUGGGAUUUCUUUCAAGGGUGGUUGCCCCUCUCUGCUUUGUCUAUGAUUCUCCCCCUUCUCAACUAACCAACAGCCCUUAAGAGAAAGAAAGAGAAACAUAGCACUUCAGUUUCUGGUUUUCUCGAUGACUAUUUGUGAAAUUUCCCCAAUAUACAAGUAUACCGCGACAAUUCAACAGCCUUCAGAUCUUCAGUCUUUCUGCUCAUGGUCCUUUGCAUGUUUCUUUCAGUUUACUCUCGCUGUCUCAUUGUUAAUGGAAACUUGAAACUGUUCCAUUAUGAUGCGUUUUACUACAGAAAUGGACUGUGAUGAUGCUUAUGAAUCUUUCUAUUUGGGCUCAUUAUUGACCAUUGAGAUAACCCGACCCGCAUGUUGGCAUGGCACCCGGUAUGGCCAGUGAUUGGAAACUAGUCUCUCUCUCUCUCUCAUGCAACCGGUGUUGCAGCCAUGUCGUCGCUGUUUUCUCUCUUGCCUUGUCAUUAUAUGCGUAUGAGCCUCAAUUUGCUGAAGAACAUUAGUAGGCGUUUGGACAAAUAUUAAGUUGAAGUUGAGAUAUUCUUUUAAAUGCAGACUUGUGAGGUCUCUUCGGUUAAUAGCUCUCAUCUAAAUGAACUAUUUAGCCCAGGAAUGGCGAGAAUGAGGCAGCAGAGAGUAUGGGAUUUUUUACAGGGUGGUUGCCCCUCUCUGCUUUGCCUAUGAUCCUCCCUUUUUCAACAAACCAACAACCCGUUAAAAAGAAAGAGAGAGGCAUAUAAUAGCACUUCAGUAUUUCGGUUUCUUUGCAUUUUGCACCUUUUUAAUGUAUACUCUCAUGACUAUACAACAACUACGCAGCCUUCAGAUCUUUUAAAGAGGCAGUGAUGAUGAUUUUUUCAAUAUCUGGGCUAACUAAUCCGGGAAUGGAGAUAACCGGACCCUUAUCUUGGCGUGGCAACCCGGUAUGGCCUGUGAUUGAGACUUUCUCUCUCUCACACAUGCAACCGGUGUUUUGCAGCCAUGGUGUGGUUGGCCUCUCUUGUCUUUGACAUUACAACACAUCUGAGCCUCAAUUUGCUAAAGAAAUUAUUAUCUUUUCCAUAUUGAUGUGGAAAUCCCCCCGACCCCACUUAUGGGAAUAUACUUGGUUUGUUGUUGGUUUGUUGUUGUAUAUUGAUGUGGAAAUAUUACCCACGCCUUUUUGUUGAAAGUUUUAAUGCUUGUAGGUUUGAAAUCCAAUUUUUUAUCAGUAAUUGGAAUUCACUAUAUGAUCCUCCAUCUAAGCUAAUUCCCUUAGCCCAGAAAUGGCGAGAAUGAGGCAACAGAGAGUACGGGAUUUCUUUCAAGGGUGCUUGCCCCUCUCUGCUUUGUCUAUGAUUGUCCCUUUUCAACAAACCAACAGCCGCCCUUAAAGAGUUAGUAAAAAUCAGAGACAACACUUCCAUUUCUGGGUUUCUUUGCAUUUUUGCACCCUCUGUUUGGACAGCCACCUUGUAAUUGGAUUUAGGGUGUAAUUGUGUGCAUUUUUUAUUGUUUGUAUGGCCAAGUAAUUACUUGGUCAGUAUGGAUUUGGGUGUAAUCGCACAACUAUACUACGACCUUCAGAUCGAUGAUCCGUCUCCUCGUGGCUUUGAGAACUCAUUAAAGAGGCAGUGAUGAUGAUGUUUCUUAUAUCCGGGCUAAGUAAUUCGGGCAUGGAGUAACGUGACCAUAUCUUGGCGUGGCAACUCAGUAUGGCUUGUGAUUGAUACUCCUUUCGCAUGCAACUGGUGUUUUGCAGCCACGGUGUGGUCGGCUUCUCUUGUGCCUUAUCAUGACAGAUCUGAGCCUCAAUUUUCUAAAGAAAAUAUCUCCUCCUUAAUUUGAUGUGGGAGACUUCGAACCCCCAGAACGAGGCUACAGAAUGGGAUUUCUUUCAAGGGUGGUUUCCCCUCUCGGCUUUGUCUAUGAUUCUCCAUGUUUAACAAACCAAUUUAAAAAAGAAAGAGAGAAAGAGAGCACACUUCAGUUUCUGGGUUUCCUUGCGUUUUUGCACCCUUUAUGUGUACUCAAAAACACACCUUCAGAUCAUCAGUCUGUCUCAUGGCUUUGAAAGCUCGUAAAAGAGGCAGUGAUGAUGAUUUUUUGUAUCUGGGCUAUUUAAUUCGGGCAUGGAGAUUACCCGCCCCAUAUCUUGGCGUGGCAACCCUGUAUGGCCUGUGAUUGAGACUCUUCUCACUCAUGUGUAACUGGUGUUUUGCAGCCAUGGCAUGGCUAGCUUCUGUUUUUCCUUAUCAUAGCACAUCUAAGCGCAAAGCUGAUCUAGGAUUUGAACUUUGUGGGUUCGAGUUCAAGAUUUUACAACUCAUUUGAUAUACUGUGUUGAAAAUCAAGUAUUUGUACUUAUUUAGUAAACUUUUUAACACAUGUAGAGGGUUUGAGUCAAAGCUACUGUUCAGAUGAACCCAUGCCUAAACCUCUCUAUCUGCCGUGACUCAGCCUCAAUAUGCUUUUUUUCCCCUUCCUGAAAUGGCAUUGGCCAGUUAUUUAAGUUGUUUUCUCUUUCGCAUACAAAUGAUGUUUUUGCAGCCAUGGCGUGGUUAACUUUUCUUUGCCUGAUCUUUUCUGCAGAUCUGAGCCUCACAUUUUUGUGUUCACCUGCAUUUUCUUAUUCAAUACACGUAUUGCACCGGUUUUUUUUUUCUUAAUCUUCAGAUGUCGAAUAAAAGAAUGAGGCAAUAUAGGUGUCAAAAUGAGUAUUUUUCUUAAGAGAGGUUGUUCAUGUUUAUUUUUUUUUUUAAAAAAAAGAUCUUUUCUAUGUGAUAAUAGUUUUAAUUGAAAAGAAUCAAUUUUAGUCCUGCUGAGUUGUAACUUUGUUUUUGUCUGUCUUUGAUGGCCUUUGUGCGUAUCUUCUAUGUUCCCUUGGCUUUUGAGUUCGAACAGCUUUUGCUUGGAGUACACGUAAAUGGGGCUGUGAUGAUACUUCUAGUACCUUCUUUUCUGGGCUAAUCAAUUUGCAUGGAGAGGACCAGACCUGUUGGCUUGGCAACUCAAUGUGGGUUAUGAUCUAGCAUGCGGCCUUCAGAGAAAGCAUUUUGUUGUAGUGUUGCACCACGCUGGUGUUGAAUUGUUCGUGCGUGUCUGUGUUUUCAAUAAGCAUCAAAACCAUGAGUUCCAAGCAAUCAUGCCUCAAUCUUGAAGCCAAACCCGGGUAAUCUGAGAUAUACUUUGAUACAAUGGUGGUUGAGCAAAAGAAACGAAAUGGUGGACACAACCAUCGAGCAAUGUUUACCUUCAAUAGUGUAUUGGCAGACAUGGAAAAGUAGUGUAAAAUUUGGGGGAGAACUGUUACUGCUGCAAAAAUUAUUAAUCAGGUCUGUUAUUUGGUGAAGUUAUUAAAAUUUCUUCAUUCCCCUCUCUUACCUUUUAUGACUAUUGGAUAGAAGUCUAUAACAUGGUAGACAUGGUGAAACAGAACUUAAGUGAAUGUGUUAAGUUGGGAGAAACCACUCAGCCAGUGGAGGUGGGGGUUUAAGCUCAAUAUUGAUUGUUGCUUUAAAUGUAACCUGGGAAUUCAGAUGCUGGUGGAAUUGCAAGGAACAAGCCGGGGAAAUGGUAUGGCUUUUGCAGAUUACUCUGGUUGCCGCACUAAUAAUCUAGCAGAAGCAAGGGCAAUGUUAACGAGGGCUUGGACGGUGAGUCCAGUAUGGUUUUCUUGAUUUUGUCAUUGAAUCUGACUCUUGUAAUUGUAAAGAUGGUAAGAAAUGAAUGUAGUGUUUUGUGGCA